CGAUGAACCUCCUUCGGGAGGGGAUUAGUGGCGAACGGGUGAGUAACACGUGGGCAAUCUGCCCUUCACUCUGGGACAAGCCCUGGAAACGGGGUCUAAUACCGGAUACGAGUUCGGGAGGCAUCUCCUGGACUGGAAAGCUCCGGCGGUGAAGGAUGAGCCCGCGGCCUAUCAGCUUGUUGGUGGGGUAACGGCCCACCAAGGCGACGACGGGUAGCCGGCCUGAGAGGGCGACCGGCCACACUGGGACUGAGACACGGCCCAGACUCCUACGGGAGGCAGCAGUGGGGAAUAUUGCACAAUGGGCGAAAGCCUGAUGCAGCGACGCCGCGUGAGGGAUGACGGCCUUCGGGUUGUAAACCUCUUUCAGCAGGGAAGAAGCGAAAGUGACGGUACCUGCAGAAGAAGCGCCGGCUAACUACGUGCCAGCAGCCGCGGUAAUACGUAGGGCGCAAGCGUUGUCCGGAAUUAUUGGGCGUAAAGAGCUCGUAGGCGGCUUGUCACGUCGGGUGUGAAAGCCCGGGGCUUAACCCCGGGUCUGCAUCCGAUACGGGCAGGCUAGAGUGUGGUAGGGGAGAUCGGAAUUCCUGGUGUAGCGGUGAAAUGCGCAGAUAUCAGGAGGAACACCGGUGGCGAAGGCGGAUCUCUGGGCCAUUACUGACGCUGAGGAGCGAAAGCGUGGGGAGCGAACAGGAUUAGAUACCCUGGUAGUCCACGCCGUAAACGUUGGGAACUAGGUGUUGGCGACAUUCCACGUCGUCGGUGCCGCAGCUAACGCAUUAAGUUCCCCGCC
rnacentral:rRNA from 1 species